rnacentral:snoRNA from 1 species
AAGACUAUACUUUCAGGGAUCGUUGAGUAGAGAAGGUUCUCUGAACACGUAGGGCACUGAAAGCCAAGAGGAGGAGGCGCAGUGUCCUCUCCUGAGCGUGAACCCGGUUCUAGGUAUUGCUCUAGUUUCUUGCAACUGCCUCUUGGCACUGAUGAUCGUUCUUCUCCCCUGUUUUGGGGGAGUAAGAGGGAGAGGACACAGUCCGAGUGGU